GUCUUCGAGUCGUUGAUUUCACACUGCCGAGAAAAGCCUCUAGAUAGAAAAUAGGUGCCCGUACCGCAAACCGACACAGGUAGUCAAGAUGAGAAUUCUAAGGUGAGCGAGCGAACUCUCGUUAAGGAACUCGGCAAAAUGACCCCGUAACUUCGGGAGAAGGGGUGCUCUUUAGGGUUAACGCCCAGAAGAGCCGCAGUGAAUAGGCCCAAGCGACUGUUUAUCAAAAACACAGGUCUCUGCUAAACCGUAAGGUGAUGUAUAGGGGCUGACGCCUGCCCGGUGCUGGAAGGUUAAGAGGAGUGGUUAGCUUCUGCGAAGCUACGAAUCGAAGCCCCAGUAAACGGCGGCCGUAACUAUAACGGUCCUAAGGUAGCGAAAUUCCUUGUCGGGUAAGUUCCGACCCGCACGAAAGGCGUAACGAUUUGGGCACUGUCUCAACGAGAGACUCGGUGAAAUCAUAGUACCUGUGAAGAUGCAGGUUACCCGCGACAGGACGGAAAGACCCCGUGGAGCUUUACUGUAGCCUGAUAUUGAAAUUCGGCACAGCUUGUACAGGAUAGGUAGGAGCCUUUGAAACGUGAGCGCUAGCUUACGUGGAGGCGCUGGUGGGAUACUACCCUAGCUGUGUUGGCUUUCUAACCCGCACCACUUAUCGUGGUGGGAGACAGUGUCAGGCGGGCAGUUUGACUGGGGCGGUCGCCUCCUAAAAGGUAACGGAGGCGCUCAAAGGUUCCCUCAGAAUGGUUGGAAAUCAUUCAUAGAGUGUAAAGGCAUAAGGGAGCUUGACUGCGAGACCUACAAGUCGAGCAGGGUCGAAAGACGGACUUAGUGAUCCGGUGGUUCCGCAUGGAAGGGCCAUCGCUCAACGGAUAAAAGCUACCCCGGGGAUAACAGGCUUAUCUCCCCCAAGAGUUCACAUCGACGGGGAGGUUUGGCACCUCGAUGUCGGCUCAUCGCAUCCUGGGGCUGUAGUCGGUCCCAAGGGUUGGGCUGUUCGCCCAUUAAAGCGGUACGCGAGCUGGGUUCAGAACGUCGUGAGACAGUUCGGUCCCUAUCCGUCGUGGGCGUAGGAAAUUUGAGAGGAGCUGUCCUUAGUACGAGAGGACCGGGAUGGACAUACCUCUGGUGUACCAGUUGUCGUGCCAACGGCAUAGCUGGGUAGCUAUGUGUGGACGGGAUAAGUGCUGAAAGCAUCUAAGCAUGAAGCCCCCCUCAAGAUGAGAUUUCCCAACUUCGGUUAUAAGAUCCCUCAAAGAUGAUGAGGUUAAUAGGUUCGAGGUGGAAGCAUGGUGACAUGUGGAGCUGACGAAUACUAAUCGAUCGAAGACUUAAUCAA
rnacentral:rRNA from 74 species